CUUACACCACCACCUUAACCCACCAUCUCCAACACCUCCGGCCACCUUAUCUCGCCGGAAAAUGGGUCCGGUCGGCACUCCUUGAAUCCAUCCGAAAAUAACACAAUAGAAGCACAAACUCUAGAUUUUUCUUAAUCUUUUGAAGAAUCAAAGCAUGGGAUUUAUUUUCUUGAUGGAUUAGAGGCUUGUACUUGGAUUGGAGGAAGGCAUCUCUCCACCUCUUGGAAAUUAAUUUGUAGAGUUUCAAAUCUACACUUUUGCUAUUUUUGGAGAUUCAUAGACUUUUGUGUGGCUCGCCUCAACUUGGAAGACUAGAAUUUUUUGAAGGAUCACAGGCGCGUAUGGCAAGGCGAAGAGUUCAUAAGAGUCGCCCCCUUAUGGAAGUACUUGAGGCUGAGCGAGAGCCACAUCUUAGUGUUGGAAAUGAAGUUCCACCUCGGGUUCAGGAAGAAGAGAUUGAACAUGAAUCGCAUAAUGAGCAAACUCAAGAGUCAAGUGCCAAUCCAGAAGUGGGACAUUCAGAUAGAGUCGUACCACCAAGGGUUGACACAGCUCCAGCAUUUUUAGACCCUAGUGUGCAGCGCCUUUUAGAGUCAAUGGCUAGCCUAGCGGAGAGGCAGACUCACAUCCUUGAACAACAGAAUGCAGCACAGUCAAGGCCAUUUGUGCAACCUACAGAGAACCGCCUCACCGCAAUUGAGAGGUUCAAGAAGUUGGGGGCUCCAUCAUUUUCUGGAUCGCCCAAUCCUAUGGAGGCAGAGGCCUGGUUAAGGAGG